rnacentral:rRNA from 1 species
CCUACGGGUGGCAGCAGUGAGGAAUAUUGGUCAAUGGGCGGGAGCCUGAACCAGCCAAGUCGCGUGAGGGAAGACGGUCCUACGGAUUGUAAACCUCUUUUGCCGGGGAGCAACGGGGUCCUUGCGAGCGCCCUAGGAGAUUCCCCGGGGAAAAAGCAUCGGCGAACUCAGUGCCAGCAGCCGCGUUAAUACGGAGGAUGCGAGCGUUAUCCGGAUUUAUUGGGUUUAAAGGGUGCGUAGGCGGGCUGUUAAGUCAGCGGUCGAAUGUCGGGGCUCAACCCCGGCCGGCCGUUGAAACUGGGGGCCUCGAGUGGGCGAGAAGUACGCGGAAUGCGUGGUGUAGCGGUGAAAUGCAUAGAUAGCACGCAGAACUCCGAUUGCGAAGGCAGCAUACCGGCGCCCGACUGACGCUGAGGCACGAAAGCGUGGGUAUCGAACAGGAUUAGAUACCCCAGUAGUC